rnacentral:tRNA from 1 species
UCUCUUAUAGUUUAACGGAAAAACACAUCCCUUCUAAGGAUAAGAUACUGGUUCGACUCCAAUUAAGAGAA